AGCAUCCACGUUUGACAGAACCUGUCGGGAACUGCUCGCCUUGUAUUUAAGUUGUGCAUAGCUUGUUUCCAAAUGUGAACUCAACCAACACCACACGGGCUCAGUGCCCAUACAGCAAGGUAAGGUAUAGAUAGUUUCAUGUUUCUUCAAGGUACAUUAUUUUAUACUCCAUCCUGAGUUAUUUCUAGACGUACUUACGGCAGUUAGUGAUGUUUCCUCACCAUCAGUGACUGUGGCGUGCUCAUUGUAUUAUGGGAGCUUAGAGUCGUUAACAUUAAUUAUUUACAUUAUGGAUAUCAUCUUGAUGAUAAUUGUCAAUACAUACUCUGACCAGUUUGGAAUGUCAAAAUGUUGUAGUUAUAUAUAUUUUAUCCAUAAACUUUUAGUUUCAUGUUUUAGAGUUUUCGUUCUCAAAUUUGUAUGAAUUGGAUUCCAAUGCUCAAAACCUCAGUUUCAUAAGAAACAAUUCAUCAGCUAACAUACUUUUUUUUAAUGUACAGGAUGUUGAUUUCAUCAUAUUUAAAAAGAAGGAAAUGAAUAGGGUGAAGAAAUCUCAUCAUAUAAUCUCCUCUCCAAUUCACACUCAUAUAAGCAAACAAGCGGAGUGAGAGGAUGACGAGGCGUAAAUGGAGGCGGGGUCGGUCCGUCGUUGUGGCGGUCCAGGAGCACCACGGGGUUGCCGGCGACCCGUGUGCCGCAGGCAGCUGUUGGGAACGUCGAGCCACGAGACAACCUGUUGGCGUCGGACCCACAUCAGCGUCCCCAACUCCCCAUUGGCGGCACAUCCAUCCCCGCCACCACGUGCUGCCCUCCACCUCCUGCCCGUCGGUCCAUCAAUUUGAUCUCCUCAACAUAGCCGAUGAGCGAGUGCUGAAGUGUCCACAACGGCACAACCUAGAACGCGCGGCGAGAUCCAGCGACACCGAUGUGGAGGGAGGCGUCACGAGAGAUUGAAGCAAGCCUUGGUGGGGCUUCCCUGUUGCUGCUGCGAGAAGCAGAAGGAGGCGGUGUUACGUAGAAACGAAAUUUGUUUGUUUGCUUGAGUGAAUAUAUAUGUCUAAUGUAUACAAAAAAAUCGGUUGUGUUAAAAAUUUGAAGUAUGUGGUUGUUGGUUUAGUUGA